GCCUGAUGAAGGAAUUUGGCUGCAGUGGAAGGGAAGCAGCACACCCAACCUCUGUGAGGCACGAAGAGCAUUCCCCACGUGGCCUGUCCUUAAAGAUAAAUCAAGAGGAAAAUCCAGCCUGUGGGGCAUAGUCCCCCAACAAAG